CUUGUAAUUAUUUGAGAAAUUUACUAGGAAGUGGAAAACACACGAUCACAUCUAUUCUCUUUACAUGAUCUCCUGUGCCCAGAUGAGAUUUGGGGGGAGCGGACAAUCCAAAGCAGAUGCGAUGAGAAGCGAGACAACAUGGCCAAGAUCUGAUAUCAGGAAGACAUGCUUCUGGCUCAACGCUGUAGAUGCACUGAACUUGAAGCCCUACGUGGCCUGUGCCCUGUGGUGGAUCUCUUGGUUUAGGCCAUAUUCACUACGCACUUUGCUGCCAGAGGCAUCCGCUGCUGUGGCCAAGCGCACCCCUGAGCCAUACACUGGAGAAUAUAUCUCAGAUGCCUGUCUGUGUGCAUCUAUCUUCCCGUGA
ensembl:lncRNA